AUGCAGCCUUUGGAUGUGACAUAUGUACUAUUGUCACGCCUUUUACUCUUCCAUUUUGCAAGGGCAGAAAAUUUACUUCCAGGAAACUUAGACUCUAGUCAGCACUAUGAAAAUUCAGGACUAAGAAUUAGAUGUCCUGCAAGGGGUUUUUCCAUCCAGGACAUAAGUCAAUCUGCUGGAGCAAUGCGUCUGGAUGGAUCCAUAAAAACAGUUCCAGUCCAGUUUACAGUUUCAACGAAAAGCCCUAAUGUGUUCUUGAACCAAGUGCUUGCAGUCAAUAGUCGGAUAUAUCAAUGUAAAACUCCAAUUUUGCGUAAGUCUGGCAGACAUGUUUUCUCAAGACAGAAACGGGAGCUUCAUUUGGGACCUCUGCGAUCAUUACACACUGAAUUAAAUGUUAUUCUAGACUGUGUAACAACCCGCCACAUACUUCCACCAACAAAUGGAAAGAAAGGAGUGGUCAUCUUGGAAUCAACCGGACCGCAACUCUGGGAUUUCGCGAAAAUAGUCACCGAAGACACCUGUCAGAUGGAAAUUUCUGACCCUUCUAGUUCAAUUCCAAUUGUUCGAGAACUAAAAUUUAAGGUUCAAGGAGCUACAAAUGUUGAGAAAAAAGAUCCAGCGAAUCAUGAAAUAACAUUUCGGUACGGUGGUGGACGUGGCCGUGGACGCGGGAGACGAAGAGGAUUAGGGCCAAAGACAACUACAACACCCAAGCCAGUUCCAAUAGACAAGGACGUUGAGUAUCCAGAGGCUUUCAAAAGUCAUGUAUCUAACUGGGACAGGAAACGAGGAGACAUGACGAGGGCACCAGCGCGGCCGAAACUCGUUCAGCAAUCGGAGCGAUUGGUGCAAGUUGAGUGGAAACCACCGUUGAAAGUUAUGCCAAUAGAGUUCUACCGCGUCGAAUACAUGAAAGACGACAGUCAGAACCAAUGGCUUCCCUGUCACAAGGGCAACUUACCUGCCCGAACCCGUGCUUUUCAGUUUGACCAGCUAAUGACCUUCCGAAGAUACAAAUUUCGAAUUUUAGUUCACUAUGAGAAUGGACAGGAACGAUACAGCUCACCCACCACAUGGUUCCACUUAGAAAACUGGACGUGA
rnacentral:lncRNA from 1 species